CAGCCGUCGCCGGGAGCAGUGAGUGUGUGUGCGCGCGUGUGUGUGUGUGUGCUGGUAUAAUCUGACAGCACGCUGGGGCUGCGUUUCCUAAGAAAAGCUCAGCUCUCUCAGUUUUCUGCCCGUCUUAUUGCCGCUCUCAUUGUCUUUGUCGACAGUGAUAAAGAGAGCAGUUCAACCACGGGCCUGUUUUUGGAAUAAGAAAAGCAUUGCUGUUUUCUGACUUUGAGAGAAGAAAGAAGGGACUCCUCUGGAAUUUCCUAAGGAAUUUAUUCGGACAGCUCCCUUAACCGGGGCUUUGCAUUCUACCGCCUGGGUAUAUAAUGUGACCAACUAUUCCACACUAGGGAAAUUCUGAGGAGUUCUCUUCUUUCAUCACUCUGGUCCGGGGCAGCAAUCGCCAAUUAUUAUUCCAAACGGGUGGGGCAAAGGGGGCAUUCUUUUCAGUGGUGAGUCGGCGAGGUAAAACUACAGCAUCGGGCAGCAUGUUGGCACCUGCAUGAACCCAACAGGGGAGCCUCAUUUCUUGUUCUCUUUCCUGAGACGUCAACCACAGGA